GCUGAAUGUAGUCAGUCAGCGGAUGGGAGCAGAUAUAACAUCAGCGCCACGUGAGGGAUAAAGAGGGAGAGGACGGCCAGUUGGGUCAUUACUCAGUCAUUUGCGUUUGGAAAAAAAAAGGAUAAGCGUUUCUCUUGGUUGGGUUUUUUUUUCUCCCCCUUUCUUUCUUUUUUUCUGCUUCUCUUCUAUCUUCUUGAAUUUUCCUUUGGCUCCUUUGGGUUUUUUUUUCCAUCUUCUGAGUGGACAACACCGUUGGAGUGCAUCAGAAGAUUUCAGUUCAUUUCUCCUACAUGAUAAGGAAGUUGGGAGGUGUUGAAGCUGGCGAGCCAUGCCCAUGUAAAGACUGAACUGUAUACUGUAAUGUGAAAUACUCAGAACCCUGCCUUUGCUGAUGUUGGAGUUGAGAUGGCAGUUCUUCUUAGUGUCUGCUCCUGUCUUCUGGUCAUUCUCGUCAAUCACAAUGCACAUCUCAGCCAGCAGAUGGACCUGCUUCUCAUCCAGAUUAUCCUUGUUUAUUUCUGGCAUCUUUACACCGGCUUGAGUACAGAAAGCAGCACCACACCUGUGGAAACAGAAAGCAGAGCAUUAUGACCACCUGCCUGAUAUUGUGUUGGUCCACUUUUUGCUGCCAAAACAGCCCUGACCACUCAUGCACUGUGUGUUCUGACACCUUUCUAUCAGAACCAGCAUUAACUUCUUCAGCAAUUUGAGCAACAGUAGCUCGUCUGUCGGAUAGGAUCACACCUGGUGCAUCAAUGAGCCUUGGCCAUCCAUGACCCUGUUGCCGGUUCACCACUGUUCCUUCCUUGGACCACUUUUGAUAGAUACUGACCACUGAAGACCGUUAACACUCCUCAAGAGCUGCAGUUUUGGAGAUGCUCUGAUCCACUGGUCUAGCCAUCACAAUUUGGUCUUUCGUCAAACUCGCUCAAAUCCUUACUCUUGUCCAUUUUUCCUGCUUCUAACACAUCAACCUUGAGAACAAAAUGUUCACUUGUUGCCUAAUAUGUCCCACCCACUAACAGGUGCCAUGAUGAGGAGAUCAUCAGUCUUAUUCACUUCACCUGACAGUAGUCAUAAUGUUAUGGCUGAUUGGUGUAUAUAAACACAACAAAGGACAGUUCUGUGUUAAUGUUUGUUAAUGUGUAUUAUUAUAUGUGUAUUAAUAUAUUAUAUAUAUUAAUUUUUCUUCUUCUGAACAUUAUUAUUAUUAGCAUUAGCAUUUUUUGGAGGGACAGUGAUGGUUUAAAUGGUUAAGGCUCCGUGUUGUUGAUCAGAAGUUUGGGGUUCAAGCCCGAGCAUCACCAAGAUCCACUGUUGGGCAAUUCAUCAAGGCCCUUAAUCCUCCCUGCUCCAGGGGUGCUGUAUUAUAGCUGCCCCUGCACUCUGACCCCAACUUCCUCAGCUGGGAUACACAAAGAAAAGAAUUCCACUGUAAUGUAUACAUGGCGAUAAUAAAGGCUUCGUGCCCUCAGUUCAUUUAUAUAUCAGAUGAGUAGAGGACUCACAAUAAUGUGCCAGGUAAAACACACACACACACAGGACAUAAAAUAUUAUUCAGAGUGACACAGUGACACAGUAUCACUUAAAAAGGGAAUUCAAUUUCAUAUGAAGACAUCUUUGUGGGACUGUCCUUAUGUUUUCCUCACAAGAAAUUGGAGGAUUUUUUUAAAAUUACAUUAUAAUUGUUCAGUUAUAUUACUUGAAUCUUUGAAUAUUGUUAAAAUGAAGAUUAAAUGCCUAUGUUUAGCUAUGUUAAAAACAAACAAACACAGGCUUUUAUGGCGUGUCCUAAUUUUUUCACUUGACUAUAUAUAUCCAAAACUUUUGGAACAUCUGCCUUUACAUGCACACGAACUUUAAUGACAUCCCACUCAACAUCUGUAGGGUUUAAUAUUCAGCAUACCAAGACAUUUUAGACAAUUUCAUGCUCCCAACUUUGUGGCAACAGUUUGGGGAUGACCACUUCCUGUUCCAACAUGAUGACAUGGAUGAGCGAGUUUGGUGUGGAGGGACUUGACUGGCCUGAGUCCUGACCUCAACCCCAUAAAACACCUUUGGGAUGAAUUAGAGCGGAGACUGUGAGCCAGGUCUUCUCAUCCAACAUCAGUGCCUGACCUCACAAAUGCGCUUUUAGAGGAAUGGUCAGAAAUUCCUCAUAAACACACUCCUAAACCUUGCGGAAAGCCUUCCCAAAAGAGUUGAAGCUGUUGUAGCUGCAAAGGGUGGACCAACUCCAUAUUACAUUCAUGUGCAUGUAAAGACAGACGUCCCAUCUCUAAACAUGUAGCAUUACACAACAUACAAGAAAGUUAUUACAAAUACUAUUUGAUUAAAAGAUGUUGAUAGAAAUACUGUGUGAGAGUUGUUGGUUAUUAGAAAUGUGAUUUAGUUGUUGAUCUUUAUAAUGUGUGUUAUUACCUCUGAGCAAAUGAACUACUGCUUUUGAUU